rnacentral:rRNA from 1 species
UACGACGGGGGCUAGCGUUGCUCGGAAUCACUGGGCGUAAAGCGCACGUAGGCGGCUUGUUAAGUCAGGGGUGAAAUCCUGGAGCUCAACUCCAGAACUGCCUUUGAUACUGGCGAGCUUGAGUUCGGGAGAGGUGAGUGGAACUGCGAGUGUAGAGGUGAAAUUCGUAGAUAUUCGCAAGAACACCAGUGGCGAAGGCGGCUCACUGGCCCGAUACUGACGCUGAGGUGCGAAAGCGUGGGGAGCAAACAGG